CAGCAGUCGCCGCGGUAAUACGUAGGUGGCAAGCGUUGUCCGGAAUUAUUGGGCGUAAAGGGCUCGCAGGCGGUUUCUUAAGUCUGAUGUGAAAGCCCCCGGCUCAACCGGGGAGGGUCAUUGGAAACUGGGAAACUUGAGUGCAGAAGAGGAGAGUGGAAUUCCACGUGUAGCGGUGAAAUGCGUAGAGAUGUGGAGGAACACCAGUGGCGAAGGCGACUCUCUGGUCUGUAACUGACGCUGAGGAGCGAAAGCGUGGGGAGCAAACAGGAUUAGAUACCCGAGUAGUCCCUGUCUCUUAUAC
rnacentral:rRNA from 1 species